rnacentral:tRNA from 1 species
AAAAUUUUAAGUUAAGUAAACUUCUAUCUUUCAAAGUUAGCAAUAAAUAAAUAAUUUAAAUUUUA